rnacentral:rRNA from 1 species
GUGGGGAAUAUUGCGCAAUGGGGGAAACCCUGACGCAGCAACGCCGCGUGAGUGACGAAGGCCCUCGGGUUGUAAAGCUCUGUCGAGAGGGACGAAAACAUCCUGGUCCAAUAGGCCGGGAUACUGACGGUACCUCUAAAGGAAGCACCGGCUAACUCCGUGCCAGCAGCCGCGGUAAUACGGAGGGUGCAAGCGUUGUUCGGAAUUACUGGGCGUAAAGCGAGUGUAGGCGGCUCUUUAUGUCGGGUGUGAAAGCCCUCGGCCCAACCGAGGAAGUGCGCCCGAAACUGGAGAGCUUGAGUACGAGAGAGGAGGACGGAAUUCCCAGUGUAGAGGUGAAAUUCGUAGAUAUUGGGAAGAACACCGGUGGCGAAGGCGGUUCUCUGGAUCGAUACUGACGCUAAGACUCGAAAGCGUGGGGAGCAAACAGG